rnacentral:ribozyme from 1 species
GUUACUUCAGUCUGUGAAGAUAGAAGUAAUCGUUCUUACUGUGAGAAUCAGUGACAAACAUGUGGGGCUUAUAUCUUAGAUGUCCAUCUAACUCGUGCUGUAGUUAGACAAGGCAACCAUCGAGUAUUAGUGCAGACGUUAAAAUCAUGU